CUGGCUCAGGAUGAACGCUAGCUACAGGCUUAACACAUGCAAGUCGAGGGGCAGCAUGAUCUAAGCUUGCUUAGAUUGAUGGCGACCGGCGCACGGGUGAGUAACGCGUAUCCAACCUUCCCUAUAGUAGAGGAUAGCCCGGCGAAAGUCGGAUUAAUACUCUAUGUUUUCCAAUGCAGACAUCUAAAAUGGAACAAAGGUUUACCGCUAUAGGAUGGGGAUGCGUCUGAUUAGGUUGUUGGCGGGGUAACGGCCCACCGAGCCAUCGAUCAGUAGGGGUUCUGAGAGGAAGGUCCCCCACAUUGGAACUGAGACACGGUCCAAACUCCUACGGGAGGCAGCAGUGAGGAAUAUUGGUCAAUGGGCGAGAGCCUGAACCAGCCAAGUAAGCGUGCAGGACGACGGCCCUAUGGGUUGUAAACUGCUUUUAUGCGGGGAUAAAGUUCACUACGUGUAGUGUUUUGUAGGUACCGCAUGAAUAAGGACCGGCUAAUUCCGUGCCAGCCGCCGC
rnacentral:rRNA from 1 species